ACGAACGCUGGCGGCGCGCUUAACACAUGCAAGUCGAACGGAAAGGCCUGCUUUCCCUUGUGGAUUGCGGGUACUCGAGUGGCGAACGGGUGAGUAACACGUGAGUGAUCUGCCCCCAACUUGGGUAUAAGCCUGGGAAACUGGGUCUAAUUCCCGAUAGGACUGCAGGGUGGUGCCUGUGGUGGAAAACGAUUUUCUAGUGGUUGGGGAUGAGCUCGCGGCCUAUCAGCUUGUUGGUGGGGUAAUGGCCUACCAAGGCGGCGACGGGUAGCCGGCCUGAGAGGGUGGACGGCCACAUUGGGACUGAGAUACGGCCCAGACUCCUACGGGAGGCAGCAGUGGGGAAUAUUGCACAAUGGGCGGAAGCCUGAUGCAGCGACGCCGCGUGGGGGAUGACGGCCUUCGGGUUGUAAACUCCUUUCGACCGCGAGGAAGCCACCUGGUUGGAAGGGUGGUGACGGUAGUGGCAGAAGAAGCACCGGCUAACUACGUG
rnacentral:rRNA from 1 species